GGCUUGGUCCUGACUUUACUAUAAGCUUUAGCCCAAUUUAUACAUGCAAGUCUCCGCACUCCCGUGAGAAUGCCCUCAAUCCCCCACCCGAGGACGAGGAGCUGGCAUCAGGCACAACCACUUAGCCCAAGACGCCUUGCUCAGCCACACCCCCAAGGGAAUUCAGCAGUAAUAAACAUUAAGCCAUGAGUGAAAACUUGACUUAGUUAAAGCUAAAAGGGUCGGUAAAAUUCGUGCCAGCCACCGCGGUUAUACGAAAGACCCUAGUUUAUAGCUACGGCGUAAAGGGUGGUUAAGGAACGCAAAAAAUAAGGUCAAAGACCUUCCAAGCCGUCAUACGCUCUACGAAAGCACGAAGUCCAAAUACGAAAGUGACCUUAAUAAACUUCGCCUGACCCCACGAAAGUUGGGAAACAAACUGGGAUUAGAUACCCCACUAUGCCCAACCUUAAACCUAGAUGAACAAAGCACAAGAUCAUCCGCCAGGGAACUACAAGCACAGCUUAAAACCCAAAGGACUUGGCGGUGCCUCAGACCCACCUAGAGGAGCCUGUUCUAGAACCGAUAAUCCCCGUUAAACCUCACCACCCCUUGCUUUCCCCGCCUAUAUACCGCCGUCGUCAGCUUACCCUAUGAAGGUUAAACAGUAAGCAAAAUGGGCCCAACCCAAAACGUCAGGUCGAGGUGUAGCGCACGAGGUGGAAAAGAAAUGGGCUACAUUUUUCCUAUUACAGAACAUUACGAAUAGUGUCCUGAAAGCGGCACCUGAAGGAGGAUUUAGUAGUAAAAAGCAAGCAGAGAGUCCUUUUGAAUUAGGCUCUGAGGCGCGCACACACCGCCCGUCACUCUCCCCUUCCUACUUUAAAUAACUUAAUAUACUUAAUCAUCUAAACAAAACUACGGGGAGGCAAGUCGUAACAUGGUAAGUGUACCGGAAGGUGCACUUGGAAUAACC
rnacentral:ncRNA from 1 species